GACCUGAUUUUGUUGCGGAGUAUGUAGUCUCUCCAGCCUUCACCCGAGCAAUGACCGAUGAGACUCCAUCAACAUGGUUUUUUUCGUAGGUUAUUUUGAAUGAUCUACGAUCACAAAAUUCUUGCAGCCCUUUCACCGGGUCAGGCUCGAUGGUUUCGGGGGUGGCAAGAGGUUCCAAUAGCCGCUUCAUGCUUCUCCAAACAACCUCCUUGUCACACUUGCUGUCGAGAUAAAUUGCACCAGCUAUUGAUUCAAUCACAUCCCCGAGAACCUGUUUGUUUGCAAGUAAAGCAAUAGAUCCAGCUUAAGCUAUUCGAUGGAAAAUAUUACAGAAGUGCACAAAAAUAGAAAGAAGCAUGCACUGGAUGCGGAACAUUAUGGAAGGAACAUAUGAGAAGAUGUGCAAAUUAUUGGCGGACACUGGUGACAUGAUAAUUCUGCAGAGUUCAGGUGGCAACUCAACACUAUAUCUAUCACCAGGUUCUGAAACAAGGAAAAAAGAUGACCAAAUCAGUGAUUUAUGCAUAUGUAGCUCUGUAAAGAUAGUACAGGCAGUACAUUAGUUGGACCAUUGUCUAAGAGUUCAGCUAUAACCCACUGUAACAUGCCUCAUUGAUAGCGAUGCAAAAUACACAUGUAUGAUCAAGCCCAGCAAUAUGUGUGGGAUUUAA